rnacentral:rRNA from 1 species
AGAAGUGCGAAUGCUGACAUAAGUAACGAUAAAGCGGGUGAAAAGCCCGCUCGCCGGAAGACCAAGGGUUCCUGUCCAACGUUAAUCGGGGCAGGGUGAGUCGACCCCUAAGGCGAGGCCGAAAGGCGUAGUCGAUGGGAAACGGGUUAAUAUUCCCGUACUUGGUGUUACUGCGAAGGGGGGACGGAGAAGGCUAUGUUGGCCGGGCGACGGUUGUCCCGGUUUAAGCGUGUAGG